rnacentral:lncRNA from 1 species
AUACACCUAUAGUCAUAUAUUGAAAGAAAAAAUGGAUAUUACAAAGUAGAGUGGAAUUCGGAAUUCAAAUGCUUCCUUCAGAUAAUUCCUGCAUGAAAUUCAUAACAGCAGCAGAAGUACUGCUACUACUACUUAUUAACUUGAAUAAACGAAAUUAAUAUACACUGAGAUUUUUAAUAGAAAAUGCUCUGAAUUUUUUUCCUAUAACUGGUAGUAGCUAUGGUUAUUUUCUUGCAAGCAAAUGCUGUGUAAUCGUAGGAUAAGGCUGCAUCUUUUUGUCUCAUUACUUGCUGGAGCCAAAGAUUUUGCAUCCUGCAUCAUAUAUCUAACGAGAAACAUUAAAUUGCUAUUUCGAUAAUUAGUUUGGAAAUAAAAUAUAUCUACUUAGUAUAUAUGGAGAGUAUUUGAAUGCAUAUAAUAUACAACGAGAUACACGAAUAGCUGUAGGAAAUAUAUAGGAAGCGCCCCGUCAAGAAGG